ACAUGCAAGUCGAGCGAUGAGAUCCCUUCGGGGAUGGAUUAGCGGCGAACGGGUGAGGAACACGUGGGCAACCUGCCCCUGACUUUGGGAUAACUCCUCGAAAGAGGAGCUAAUACCGGAUACGAACUCCUUGGGCAUCCUUGGAGUUGGAAAGUUUUUCGGUCAGGGAUGGGCCCGCGGCCUAUCAGCUAGUUGGUGAGGUAACGGCUCACCAAGGCGACGACGGGUAGCCGGCCUGAGAGGGCGACCGGCCACACUGGGACUGAGACACGGCCCAGACUCC
rnacentral:rRNA from 1 species